CAUGAGUCCUAUUAACGGUCACCCUCACCCCUCUACUUUAACACAUAAAAAAAACUCUUUGCUUCCAUUUUCCUCUCUCUCUCUUCCCUUACCUCAUGUCUGGACCCAAAACGUUGCUGCUGGAGAAAAAUUUAUCGAUGCUCAUUUAUUCGAUGUCGCAGAUCGUAGUGGCGAGGCAACGACUGAGACCUGGAACUCGAAUUUCCUCCAACUCCUCUCAUCUCAAAAAAUUUCGAAGGAAAACACGAUUAGAUAAAGGAGGGAAAAUAUAUUGUCAUUCACCAUUUUUGCUGCUUGGGAUUUGGGGCGGCAAGAACAACAGAGCAAAUGGCUAAGCAUUAAGGGAUUCUUUACAGAAAGAACCUCUCCAUCCGAAAAUAUAACCACAACGAAUCAGUGGUGUACAUUAUAUAAUCUCUCUUUCCAUGUGUGUAAGUUGUAGAAACAAAACCCAAGCAAGUAAGUUAUUUUCCCUUCAUUUUCUAUUAUGUGAAUCUUAUUUUGUUGAUUUACUAAAUAGGAUUUUUGAGCAAGAAAUGUACAGUAAAGUCCCACAUAUGUGUAACUUUACAAAUGAAAUGAAAAAAAUCAGAGGUUAAAUCACUUUAAGUUUGAUUUGUUGGAAAACCCAAAAUAUAUGCACUCACGCUGCAAUUUUUAAAGAACAUUAGGAAAUGACAGGAAAACUUUUUGUUUAUGUUCCAAAACUCUGUUUAAAACAAAACAAAAGAACCACUGUUUUCUCUAAGCUGUACAUAAUGAUAUAUAAACUUGCACAUACGAAAAAAAUAUAUAUAUAUCCAUUAGAGGGGAUUGAUGACUGCUAUUUAAUUACAAUAACGAGGAAGAAUAGUUCAUUAGAGCUAUAACAACAUGAAUUUAUGGAAGAGAAUAGUCUGUAUUAAACCUCAUUGACGGAGGUAAUUGAUUAGCAAAUAAGGACCAAUUUAGGUAACUAUUUGAAAGGGUUGAGUUUGCUUAAUAAAUAUUGACAUGCAUAUAAGAAAUUCACUCCAAUUAAUAUUGUAUUAUUGCUAAAAUGGACUUUACCAAAUAAGGGUUGUAAUCUAUUGCAUAGAUAGAUGUGAACUUGGAUUUGUGCUCUUGUUUUACAUCAUUGCACAAACAAACUAGAGGUAGGAAGUUCGUGCACUCUCAUGUUUGCUUGAUAAAUCUAUAAAGGCAACCCACUUUAAAAUAUUUUUCAAUUACUAAGAUGUAUUCAUUAUUGAUAAACGAGAGGAAGUUUCUUUGGAUAAGAAAUAGUUGUUGAAUUCUUGUUUUGUUUUUCUACAUUAAUCAAUGAGAGCACUUUCUAUUUUUAAAGAUUUUCUAGUUAACAAUAGUUGUUGAUGUAAAUUUCUAAUUGAUGUCGUUAAAGAUAAUAAUUGAUCACAAUUAAGGAAAAUAUUGGAUCUUAUCUUUUGUUGCAAUCACAGGGAAGUACUGGCAAUAGUAGUUUCUUGGAAAUUUUAGAUUGUCCCCUGUUAAACUGCUAAAUUGUUUGCAACUUUCGAUUUCUGGUAUGCGAGUUGAUAUUGGUUUCUAAUAAUGAUUUGGUGUGUUCUACAUUGCAUUAUUCUUUCAUUAACAGGUGCCCUUUCUACAACCUAAUUUCACCUUGUUGUCUUCUUCUUUUCUAACUGUUCUUGUUGCCUUCUUUUGCUCUUUUGCCUUGUAUAUGCACUCCACUCUUGAUUUUUAUAUGUUAUGAGAUGCCCUUUAAAACUUCUUUUUCAAUUGACUGUUUUGGGUUUGAAUGGUAUGUGUUUGAUGUUUUGCCUCAUCGAAUGCCUUAGAUAGUCGGGACAUAAAAAUUUCAUGAUUAUUUAAUUAUCUGCUUUUGUGCUAAAGUGUUCUUACAUUAAAACAUUUAGCCUGUGGAUAGUAAUAUAGUAUGUGUGCUAAGAUAGAUGUAUAGAACUACUAUCAAUUGCUUAUGGAUUUUAUUAUUGUGUUUGGAGUUUCUACAAAGAAUGAAAGUUGAUCUAGGAGAGAUGCGAGGGUUUGGUGGAAGGGCAAGACUAUUUGGUUUCUCUAUAUAUAUUUUCGGUAUCCAUCAAAAGGUAUAAAUCAACCUUCUAAAGAAAUGUUCAUUAGAAGAUCAAGAGAAUCUUAGGAAUUAUAAGUGAACAAAUAAGACUUGCAAAAUAUUUUAUUUACUCGAAAAAAUAAACAUGAAAAAAACAUUACUUUAUUUUGUAUCAUUUGUAUACUUUGUUC